UACGUAGGGUGCAAGCGUUAAUCGGAAUUACUGGGCGUAAAGCGUGCGCAGGCGGUGAUGUAAGACAGAUGUGAAAUCCCCAGGCUCAACCUGGGAACUGCAUUUGUGACUGCAUCGCUGGAGUGCGGCAGAGGGGGAUGGAAUUCCGCGUGUAGCAGUGAAAUGCGUAGAUAUGCGGAGGAACACCGAUGGCGAAGGCAAUCCCCUGGGCCUGCACUGACGCUCAUGCACGAAAGCGUGGGGAGCAAACAGG
rnacentral:rRNA from 1 species